UGGGGAAUAUUGCACAAUGGGCGCAAGCCUGAUGCAGCCAUGCCGCGUGUAUGAAGAAGGCCUUCGGGUUGUAAAGUACUUUCAGCGAGGAGGAAGGCGUUGUGGUUAAUAACCGCAGCGAUUGACGUUACUCGCAGAAGAAGCACCGGCUAACUCCGUGCCAGCAGCCGCGGUAAUACGGAGGGUGCAAGCGUUAAUCGGAAUUACUGGGCGUAAAGCGCACGCAGGCGGUCUGUCAAGUCGGAUGUGAAAUCCCCGGGCUCAACCUGGGAACUGCAUCCGAAACUGGCAGGCUAGAGUCUUGUAGAGGGGGGUAGAAUUCCAGGUGUAGCGGUGAAAUGCGUAGAGAUCUGGAGGAAUACCGGUGGCGAAGGCGGCCUCCUGGACAAAGACUGACGCUCAGGUGCGAAAGCGUGGGGAGCAAACA
rnacentral:rRNA from 1 species